AUACUCACUUCGGCAGCACAUAUACUAAAGUUGGAAUGGUACAGAGAAGAUUGGCAUGGCCCCUGUGCAAGGACACAUGUAAAUUCACAAAGUGUUGCAUAUUUUU
ensembl:snRNA U6 U6 spliceosomal RNA